AACGCACAUUGCGCCCGCCAGUAUUCUGGCGGGCAUGCCUGUUCGAGCGUCAUUUCAACCAUCAAGCCUCAGGCUUGUGUUGGGGGCCUGCAGCUGCUGCAGCCCCCUAAAAGCAGUGGCGGACUCGCUGUCAUACCGAGCGCAGUAGUUACAUCUCGCUCUGGGCGUGGCGGCGGGCACCUGCCGUGAAACACUCUUUCUAAGGUUGACCUCGGAUCAGGUAGGAAUACCCGCUGAACUUAA
rnacentral:misc_RNA from 1 species